rnacentral:rRNA from 1 species
UACGUAGGGUGCGAGCGUUGUCCGGAAUUAUUGGGCGUAAAGAGCUUGUAGGCGGUUGUCGCGUCUGCCGUGAAAGUCCGGGCUCAACUCCGGAUCUGCGGUGGGUACGGGCAGACUAGAGUGAUGUAGGGGAGACUGGAAUCCUGUGUAGCGGUGAAAUGCGCAGAUAUCAGGAGGAACACCGAUGGCGAAGGCAGGUCUCUGGCAUUAACUGACGCUGAGGAGCGAAAGCAUGGGGAGCGAACAGG